UAUUAGAAGAUGCAACAAACCUGGCCUAAGAAGAUGGAAGAAAGAAAGUGGUUCCACGUGGCUGGCAACCAGAGAGCAAUGGCAAAACCUGAGUUCACAUGAAAAGAAAGGUGUUGCAAGCAUGGUGAGGAGGAAGUUGUGUGGGAUAGAAAAGGCCUGGGGGAAAUGGUGCCUUCAGGCCACCUAUCACAUGCCUCAAACUCCAAAGAAUGUGAACAACAGGACAACAGGAAAAUAGAUUUGCCCUCUCCCCACUGUCAUAUGUGUGACAGUAGAAAGCUGCAGAUUUGAGUCAGAAACUGAUGGAGUCUCACUCUGUCACCCAGGCUGGAACGCAGUGGCAUGAUCGUGGCUCACUGCAACCUCCACCCCCCAGGUUCAAGCAAUUCUUCUGCCUCAGUCUCCCGGGUAGCUGGGACUAUAGGCUGCAUAGAAAGUAUGGUUGGAAGGACUCCAGAAACUUACAAUGAUAGCAGAAGGCAAAGAAGAAGCAGGUACAUCCUACAUGGAAGGAGCAGGAGGAAGAGAGAGAAGAGGUGGGUGCUACAUACCUUUAAACAGCAAGCUUUCAUGAGAAUUUACUCACUAUCAUGAGAACAGAAAGAGGGAAACCGGUCCCGGUGAUACAAUCACCUCUCACCAGGCCCCUCCUCCAACAUUAGAGACUACAAUUUGAUAUGAUAUGGUAGGGACACAGAUCCAAACUAUAGCAUUAACUGACAGAAAAUACAGGUAGAGUCUAAGGUCUGGGGAGAAGGUGAGUGCAGUUUUGGGAAGUUGCCCAGCUAUCUAUUUUGUAAACUAAGGGGGGCAUAUUGCAUGUAGAAAUGUUUACUCCUUUAUCCUUUGGGAAGAGUAAUACAUUCAAAACAUGCUAUAUUUAAAAAGGACUCCUCAGGGUGACCAACUUUAUGGUAGAGGUUGUUAGGUAAUAUAUUUCUCCUUCAUAAAAGUGGAAAAAUAAACUUAGUGGCACAAAACUACCACCAAUUUACUAUGUUUAUGGAUUCUGUGGAUUAAGAAGUUGGACAGGGGUGAUUUAUGUCUCUUCUACAAUAUCUAAGGUUUUGGUUGGAAAGAGUCAUACGGCUGGGGGCUGGUGGAAUAACUUGGAGAUUGCUUCACUCACUGCUGGAGCAUUGGUGGAGAGGGCUGGAAGGCUGGCUUUGGCACUAUAGAAUGUCUAGCAGCAUUCCUUGCCUCUAGCCACUAGAUACAAAUAGCAUCCCACCCACCUAGCAGUAACAAUUAAAGUGUCUCCCUGACACUGCCAAAUUUAUUCUGUGCAACAACUGUCUCCUGUGGUUGAGGUCAGUGGAUAAUAUGAGUGUGAAUCUUAGCCAGGACUGGAAAGAGAUUUUUCAAGUCAUCAGUGUGUAGGUGGUCUUUAGAGUCACUGCAGUAUAUGAGAUGUCUCAGGAUGUCGGGUGAGAAGAUCAGCUCUUCAGGGUUAGAAGAAUGGACCCAUAUUGAAGGGGUUGAGGAAAAGAAGAUAAAAUGUUAAGAAAAAUGAAAAAGAAAAAUCAAGCGAGAAAGCAGGAAAACCAAGAAAGACAGGAAAGAGUGGUGCAGUGGCUAUUCCAAGUAUCUGCCUAGCAUCCUAGCUCCACUUUCUUCUUAGAGAAGCUCAGUCUCUUGUCCACAAUGACCGAUGAUUUUAUCCAUGGACCUAUACAAGCCAGGCCAUUGAGUCCUUCCUGUAAUUUUAUAUUUUAAGCCACAGAGCAAGGGGUUUUCUCCUCUGUGCUUAUUUGAAACUAUGUAAAUCCAGAAGUGCCUAUGGUGCGCUCCCUGCCACAUGGCAAAGGUUCAGCUGAGUGGGUUUGCAGAUGCCAUGAGUUGAAAAUGACCACCUGACCCUUGCAGCUCAGGAAAAGCCUCUUAAAGGAAGCUGGUGGAAGCAUUAAUGCCCAAAGAAGAUUUCUUGGGCUCCAAAGACAUCUUUACUUGGUAAAGUUAUCUCAGGAUUUUGUCAGCUAGAGCUCUGUGAAACUGCCAAAGACCAGGAAACCUGCACCAGAAGCAUCCCUUCCAUGUUGUCUGUCUUGCUUCUGACUUCUGAGCUAAAUAAGCCAUGAAACUGUGCCAAAUAUGCACAUACACAGUCUGUGAGCUGUGUGGGGGUUUGUUCAGAAGCAAGCAACACAACACACUAUAUUGUACAAGUGUGUUACAGUUUCAUCUACAGUAGACGAUAAUGAAACCAGCAGCAGAAGCAAAGCAGAGAGCUAAGAAAGACCAACUUUUUGGUAGCAUUUAAGCCCCUGGAUCCAAUCACCCAUGAAGCUUCAGAUCCAGCAGUGACCUUCCAGUUAUGUGAAUCAAUGAAUGCUCUUAAGUGGAAUAUCUUUCUGUUGCAAAUGCAAGUGUCCUAACACAGAAACUUAAACCAGAUGUGAAGUGAUAAACCUAAAAUGUGGAACUGGUUGAAUCAAGACAGGGAAGGUUGAAAAGCUGUAAUCCUUGUUAUAUGAAAGUGAAGCAGCUGCUACCUAGUGUAUUUUAUGCCUCAGGUCAUGCCCCCACCACCAUAAUGGCAACAACAUUAUGGACUUGGUCAAAAGGUUAUGGGAGUGAGAACUGAGACAGGCAUAUGCCCAGAGCCCUCCCAAACACCUCUGCUUCUGCAGUCAUAAGGCUCAUAAUCCUGCCCCAUAAUCAGCCUUGAUGCCUCCUGGUGAUGAAAAGCAGCUCCCAAUGGUUCCAUUUUUCUAAGAGGUGGAAAAAAGGAUAGUUGAUGUUCAUCUAAAGCCCAGGGGAAUGGAUGAUUCCUGCAAUUAUUGCUAAAGGACUGAAACCACGAGGGCAGGGAUCCAGACUGAGAGAUGCUGACUCAACAAGAUUUUUUGGCACUUAUAACUAGCCAAUAUCACUAGCCACCCAAAAAUAUAGUCAGGCCAGUGACUGAGUGUUUCAAGUGAACUUUAAUGCCCCCUUGGCAAGUGGAGAUUGAUUAUGAGUGUUCAAUUCUUAAGACCACCCUCCAAGAGUUCUUACAAAAAGUGGGUUGCUAAAGCAGUAGAGACAUCACCAGAGAAAAGUCUCCUGACAUCCCCUUAAGUAUUGUGACAAAGUCAAUGAACAGAGGAGAUCCUCCCAGCAGGAAGGUCCUGGAGCAUCCAGAUAGACUGACUAGGAAGCUACUCCAUGGCAAGAGAAGGGAGUCACCAGAGAGACAGGUCUCACCAUUCCUGUUUGCCAGCCUGCAGGAUGUUGCUUUGUCCUCUGUAACCCAUUUCUAAAUGUGGCAGAGCCUGGCUCCUCUUCCUUCUCUACCAACUUCUUCUUUCGAUAUAAGGGCUACCAUCUUAUUUCUAGCUUUAAGUAAGUCUUGUAUUCCUCUAUCUGCUUAACAACUCAACUAUAGCAAUCAUACAUAUAACCUAGAGAAAGUGAAAAGCCCAUUAUCACACAGGAACCAUCUCUCCUCUCUAAUCCUUAAGGGGCCUGGCAAAAGCCCAUACCCAUGUAUAUAAAAGAGCUGUCAUUUAAGGUAAGUGUAACCACAAAGACAGACAUGAAACAAAAAAGAUUU